CCUACGGGAGGCAGCAGUGAGGAAUAUUGGUCAAUGGGCGCGAGCCUGAACCAGCCAAGUAGCGUGAAGGAUGACUGCCCUACGGGUUGUAAACUUCUUUUAUAAAGGAAUAAAGUGAGCCACGUGUGCCUUUUUGUAUGUACUUUAUGAAUAAGGAUCGGCUAACUCCGUGCCAGCAGCCGCGGUAAUACGGAGGAUCCGAGCGUUAUCCGGAUUUAUUGGGGUUAAAGGGAGCGUAGAUGGGUUGUUAAGUCAGUUGUGAAAGUUUGCGGCUCAACCGUAAAAUUGCAAUUGAUACUGGCAGCCUUGAGUACAGUUGAGGUAGGCGGAAUUCGUGGUGUAGCGGUGAAAUGCUUAGAUAUCACGAAGAACUCCGAUUGCGAAGGCAGCUUACUAAGGUGCCACUGACGUUGAUGCUCGAAAGUGUGGGUAUCAAACAGGAUUAGAUACCCUAGUAGUC
rnacentral:rRNA from 1 species